CCUGCUGAACAGCCCAACCCUCCCACCUCCCUCUCCCACCCCACCAUUCCCACCACCCUCCUCCCCUGCACAUCUCACUUCUCUCCACCGAACCCUUCCCUCUGCAGGGAGCUGCUGAGGAGCCGCUUGGUCCAUCCCUGGAUUCUCCAAGCACUGACUGCCCAUCCACUCUGACCACAGCCAGGGCCACAUCCCAGCGCCUGCCCAGCGUCCAUCCCCAGGAGUGGGUAUCCUGUGGGUCUGCAAUGUAAUCCUCUGCAAGGUCUGCUGCCACUGUGACCUUCCCAAGCGCCUGUUCUGGAUCCUGAUGUUUGCCCUGUUUUGGGCCUUCUUCUGUCUCAUCACUGUCAUUCCCACGGUGACACUGCUGUGUCCAGCACAUGAACAGGAGCACUGUCGGGCAGCCUGUACCUGCAUGCCCUGUACCUCCUCCUUGCUGCACCCAUGGUCAUUUUCUGCACAAUCAUCAUCAUUAAAGCCAAGUGUGGCUCCCAGCAGCAGCAACCCAAGAGGUUCCAUUGUGCUCUUCACUCUCCUCCUCAACCUCUGGAAUGUCCUGCAGCAGCUCGGUUAUAUCUCUGUGUCCUCCCAGGUUGUUUUCCUGCUCGCCUGCAUCAACAGCACCAUCAAACCCUUCAUCUACUUCUCAGUGGGGAGUUCCUGGAGGCACUGCUCUGUGGGGAGGUGCUGGACGCUCUGUACCGUGGGGUCCCUCAGGGAAUCCCUCCAGAAGGUCUUUGAGGAACCAGAAGAAAAUACUCCCAGCAGCAAUGAUCCUGCCAUGGACACGGUGACCUGA
rnacentral:lncRNA from 13 species